rnacentral:lncRNA from 1 species
CUCGUGAUUUUUUAAUGUAUCAACUCAGAUAUCCCCACCCCAUAUCUUAGGUUUCCAUUACUUCCCAAUCAGGGUCCUGACCUUGGAGUAGUAAAUGGGCCAACGAAGUGAGAACAAAACCUCUCCUUGAGUUCUGAUACUCUCAAAUUAAGUCCUGGAUCUAAUCCCAAAUUUUUCUUGUCCUCUGGUUGUAAAAGAUGACAGUCAUUUUUAUACACUGCUGAGGAGGCCCCCGCUUGGACACAAACACUUUAAUUGGUGAUUAAUCACUCAGCUGUUUACUGUCUGCCCCUAAAUCAUUGAUUGAUCCCAGCAAUGUGCAUCCAAAUAGCUGACAUAUUGCAUCAGCCUGUGUGUUCCCUUCCACGAGUCCACAGGCCCAGAUCUCCACUGGUGAAAGUUUUAACAAUUGGACUGCUACCUAUGCGAGGAGCCUUCCAUGCUUCCCCUACCAGUGAGGGGGUCCUUACGGCAGGCAGGCCAACUCUUCAUCCUUAUACAAAAUCCCACUUCAGAGUCUCCUUCCUCAGACCACACCGGGGUCUUGGGCAGCAGAAUCUGAGACAGAGAAUCAGGUGCAGGAAGUUCAUUGGAGAGUGUGUGAGUUCAACCUCUAGAGGGAAUGAAUGAAGCAAGAUUGGGCUCCUGGAGAAGGUGACUACAACACUCUUGCAACAAAAGCCUCAGCCACUUCUAAGGCCUUUAACGUCUUAAUUGACCAAUCGUUGGACACAGGUAAGGGGCGGUGAGCCUCUGGUGAGAGGACCGUCUUCAAUGAAAGGCAAUUACUGGAGACAGGUGCAACUGAGAACUGUUGGUCAUCAACACACCCAGUAAGUGAAGAGUGAGCGCUUCUAUCCUGGAGCAGGAUCUGGGCCAGCACCCAGCACUUUCAAACAUUCAGUGAGAGUGAAGAGGGACCCCAUUCCUGACCUGUGGAGUGACGAGGAAGGCACUGGAUGUUCUCUCCAGGAGAGAGGUUCAGUGACCUUAGGGAAUGGCUGACGACCAGAGGAUACCUGGAAAGGCCUGAUCAAGCAAGAGGAGAGAGCCGUUACUAAAACCCGGGAGAGAGAAAGGGAGAAGAGCUAUGUGGAGAGGGAUGCCAGAUGGCAGUGGUGAUGCUCAGUGGAGGAGUGCAACUAGCCCAUGGCAAACCUUCCAGGGUUAUUGCAAAGAGCAAAGGAGAUAAUGGACAUGAAAAUACUUUGUAAAUUGCGAAGGUUAUUCUAGAGGUUCCCACUGGAGUUCUGGAUUCCCAGGAUACACAGCAACCAGCUGUAUGGGACUUUGGAAGAUAAUGGUCACCCUCUCCCCUUUGGCCUCCUCUUUCCUUUUCCACUCUAAACUACAGCUGUCUCAGGCAAUGACUACAGAUUCUGCUUUGGGAUUUAGAUUCGGAGGAAAAGGGAGGAGGGAGAAAUAAAAAGAUUAUGAAAUUCGGCCAAAAGAAUAAGAAAGGGUAAAAUCAGGGGAAAUUCACCUGUCUGAUGCAAAGUUAAACUGCUGGCUUUAAUGUGACUGCAUGGGAACUUGGGUUUAUUAAUGAAUACAACAUACCCUCUUUGAUUUGAAAGCUUUCACCCUGCUGAAAAGAUUCAAAAGGCAUCGCUUCCUGCACCAGCGGCAUUCCUUUAUCCGUCUCAGUGGUUCACCCCUACCCAGCUGCUAUAUCUCAUUAACAAGCAUUUGACCACUGCAGCCGGCCUGGGAGUGUUGACACUUGAAAGGCCCAGGCAGGCGUGGGCAGGCCAUCAGCUAUGGCAACAGGAAACUGCCCCGGAGACAACACUGAGAAAACAGCAGCUGCAAGAGCCAAAGUCAGAACAGACAUAAAGGGUUGCCUAUAUCCACGUCGGUCUGGGGUAUCGGUGCGUGCCUGUGGGCCUGAAUUCACACGUCUAUUUACUAUAUUUAUGGGAUAUAAAGGUUGCUAUCAACAUGUCUCUAACACUGGACUUGCUGACAACACAGAAUGAUUUUUUGACUUUCAGUGUUCUCGAAUCCUCAGGUUUCCAGAAUCUUCCUCAUCUCCUUUUAAUGUAACUUCUUGUUUAUGCACAUAAGGACGUUCACUAGAGGCCUUAAACUUGAUAGACACGUUCACUCUGGUGAAAGUCACAGUGACAAUAAAAAAUAUAUAUGCCUGAAUCCUUACCCAUUUUUCAUGCUACCACAUUAUUUUUAAAAACAAGUCAACUUGUAAAACUGUCACAUAAAUACGUAAGAUUACUCUGAAAGUCUUUGGCUUAGGAAUCAAACUGUGAUGGUUUUAUGUAGAAUAUUUAAGAAUGAAACAGUCAUUUCAAUUGUGUAAAGGUAGCUCAUAAAAUUGUGGGAUGUUCCACUUAUUAUUGAUCAUAAUAAUUUCAAAUACCUAUGUUAAUAAAAUUCAUUUACUAUUCUUUGAAUUGUAGGCUACACAGCAUCACACCCUUGAAUCUACUUCUAAAUGUUGUUUCUAUAUUCAUCUGAGGAGCUCAAAGUACACAUACCAAUUGGAAUGUUUCAUGCAAUGUUUGGGGCAAGUAUUUCUCCAAAUCUGGUGUGUCUCUGUCCAAGCCUAUAAGAGCGUUUUUAGAGGAUAGGUAAGCAAUAGUUCAAAAUCAAAGUUUUUCAUCCAGAAGGAAAAUGACCCUUUUCAAAACAGGAAAAAGAGGUCACUCCAUAUUAGGGGAGAAAAGAAAGCUAAAUGAAAAAAGACACUAAUACAAUGUGUUAUAAGUGAAAGUAGUUGACUGCCACUCAAAGACUAGUGAAUUAUUUUCCUGUCAUCAUCA